rnacentral:rRNA from 1 species
UACAGAGGGGGCGAGCGUUGUUCGGAAUUACUGGGCGUAAAGGGCGCGUAGGCGGCUUUCUAAGUCGGAUGUGAAAUCCCCGGGCUCAACCCGGGAACUGCGUCCGAUACUGGGAGGCUUGAAUCCGGGAGAGGGAUGUGGAAUUCCAGGUGUAGCGGUGAAAUGCGUAGAUAUCUGGAGGAACACCGGUGGCGAAGGCGGCAUCCUGGACCGGUAUUGACGCUGAGGCGCGAAAGCCAGGGGAGCAAACGGG